AAAUCCUUGCACAACGAUAUUACGAUAGACAGCAGCACUACUGCACUACAUUGUAUUCGAUUGUAUCGUUCGUGAAAAUUACGAACGAUUAAAGUGAAAAUGUUUGCGAUCAACGGAUUAAGAAACACAUCCCGUUUAUCGGGGAUUGUGGCUAGGUCAUAUCACAAUUCGAUUGUUAGUGCGCCGCCCGAAGUGAAAAUGUCAAGCGCUGAAAAAAUAGGCGCUUUCCUUUGUAUCGCUGGAGCGAUACUGAUAUCACCCAUGUACUUUGCACCUAAUUUCAAGAAUUAUAGCAAGAAUAAGGGCGCAUAAAUACUCUAGAUGAAAGAUAGGUUGGAAAUUAUAUUAAAACCAUUAUUUAUGAUAUGUAUCCAGUGAUACACACCAAUGGAUCCAUUCACUGUGUUCCUGGAUCAAUAAAUGUAUAGUAUAAAAA